UACGUAGGGACCGAGCGUUGUCCGGAAUCAUUGGGCGUAAAGAGCGUGUAGGCGGCUUGUUAAGUCUUGCGUGAAAUCUCGGGGCUCAACCCCGAGCGGUCGUGAGAAACUGGCAGGCUAGAGUGCGGGAGAGGAGAGUGGAAUUCCUGGUGUAGCGGUGAAAUGCGCAGAUAUCAGGAGGAACACCGAUGGCGAAGGCAGGUCUCUGGGCAUUAACUGACGCUGAGGAGCGAAAGCAUGGGGAGCGAACAGG
rnacentral:rRNA from 1 species